rnacentral:rRNA from 1 species
GUCGAGAAUCUUCGGCAAUGGGCGCAAGCCUGACCGAGCGACGCCGCGUGGAGGAUGAAGGCCUUCGGGUUGUAAACUCCUGUCGAGGGGGAAAAAGGGCCGCAAGGCCUUGAUUGAUCCCUGGAGGAAGCACGGGCUAAGUUCGUGCCAGCAGCCGCGGUAAGACGAACCGUGCGAACGUUAUUCGGAAUCAUUGGGCUUAAAGCGCGUGUAGGCGGAUUCGUGCGUCUGUCGCUGAAAUCCCCCGGCUCAACCGGGGAACGGGCGCGGAUACGACGAGUCUGGAGGGGCAUAGGGGGACCUGGAACUUCCGGUGGAGCGGUGAAAUGCGUUGAGAUCGGAAGGAACGCCCGUGGCGAAAGCGAGGUCCUGGAUGCCUACUGACGCUGAGACGCGAAAGCCAGGGGAGCGAACGGGAUUAGAUACCCCAGUAGUCC